AUGAACGCUGGCGGCGUGCUUAACACAUGCCAGUCGAACGAAGCACUUUAUUUGAUUUCCUUCGGGACUGAUUAUUUUGUGACUGAGUGGCGGACGGGUGAGUAACGCGUGGGUAACCUGCCUUGUACAGGGGGAUAACAGUUGGAAACGGCUGCUAAUACCGCAUAAGCGCACGGCAUCGCAUGAUGCAGUGUGAAAAACUCCGGUGGUAUAAGAUGGACCCGCGUUGGAUUAGCUAGUUGGUGAGGUAACGGCCCACCAAGGCGACGAUCCAUAGCCGACCUGAGAGGGUGACCGGCCACAUUGGGACUGAGACACGGCCCAAACUCCUACGGGAGGCAGCAGUGGGGAAUAUUGCACAAUGGGCGAAAGCCUGAUGCAGCGACGCCGCGUGAGCGAAGAAGUAUUUCGGUAUGUAAAGCUCUAUCAGCAGGGAAGAUAAUGACGGUACCUGACGAAGAAGCACCGGCUAAAUACGUG
rnacentral:rRNA from 1 species